CUAAGCCAUGCGAGUCUGCCAGUCAAGCACGUUGGUUAGCGGCGAACGGCUCAGUAACACGUAGUCAACCUGCCCUCGGGACGGGAACAAUCUCGGGAAACUGAGGCUAAUUCUCGAUAGAUCAAGAUUCCUGGAAUGGGUUUUGGUCCAAAAGGAGUGACAGCAUCUUGUCACUUUGCCCGAGGAUGGGACUGCGGCCGAUCAGGCUGUUGGUGGGGUAAAGGCCCACCAAACCAGUAACCGGUACGGGCUUUGAGAGAAGGAGCCCGGAGAUGGACACUGAGACAAGGGUCCAGGUCCUACGGGGCGCAGCAGGCGCGAAACCUCCACAAUGUGGGCAACCACGAUGGGGGAACUCCAAGUGCCUACACUAUGUGUAGGCUGUUCUCGAGCCUAAAAAGCUCGAGAAGUAAGGGCCCGGUAAGACGGGUGCCAGCCGCCGCGGUUAA
rnacentral:rRNA from 1 species